rnacentral:rRNA from 1 species
UACAGAGGGUGCGAGCGUUAAUCGGAAUGACUGGGCGUAAAGGGCGCGUAGGCGGUUAUAUAAGUGAGAUGUGAAAUCCCUGGGCUUAACCUAGGAAUUGCAUUUUAGACUGUAUGGCUAGAGUGCAGUAGAGGGUGGUGGAAUUUCCGGUGUAGCGGUGAAAUGCGUAGAGAUCGGAAGGAACAUCAGUGGCGAAGGCGGCCUUCUGGACCAAUACUGACGCUCAUGCACGAAAGCGUGGGGAGCAAACAGG